ACGGAAGGCAGCAGUGAGGAAUAUUGGUCAAUGGGCGGAAGCCUGAACCAGCCAAGUAGCGUGCAGGAAGACGGCCCUAUGGGUUGUAAACUGCUUUUGUCAGGGAAUAAAAGAAGGGACGUGUCCCUUAUUGCAUGUACCUGAAGAAUAAGGACCGGCUAAUUCCGUGCCAGCAGCCGCGGUAAUACGGAAGGUCCGGGCGUUAUCCGGAUUUAUUGGGUUUAAAGGGAGCGUAGGCCGGAGGUUAAGCGUGUUGUGAAAUGUAGUUGCUCAACAUCUGCACUGCAGCGCGAACUGGCUUCCUUGAGUGCGCGGAAAGUUGGCGGAAUUCGUCGUGUAGCGGUGAAAUGCUUAGAUAUGACGAAGAACUCCGAUUGCGAAGGCAGCUGACUGUAGCGUAACUGACGCUGAAGCUCGAAAGUGUGGGUAUCGAACAGGAUUAGAUACCCUGGUA
rnacentral:rRNA from 1 species